UACGGGGGGAGCAAGCGUUGUUCGGAUUUACUGGGCGUAAAGGGCGCGGUAGGCGGUCGUGACAAGUCACUUGUGAAAUCUCCGGGCUUAACUCGGAACGGUCAAGUGAUACUGUCGGACUAGAGUACAGAAGGGGCAACUGGAAUUCUACGGUGUAGCGGUGAAAUGCGUAGAUAUCAGGAGGAACACCGGUGGCGAAGGCGGCUUGCUGGGCCAGUUCUGACGCUGAGGAGCGAAAGCGUGGGGAGCGAACAGG
rnacentral:rRNA from 1 species